rnacentral:rRNA from 1 species
CAGCGCCACAAGUGGGGGCCAUGAUUAUUGGGCCUAAAGCGUUCGUAGCUGGUUCUGUUAAUCUUUUGUGAAAUCGUUGGGCUUAACCUAACGGCGUGCAGGAGACACUGCAGAACUUGGGACCGGGAGGGGUUAGAAGUAUUUUUUGGGGGAGUGGUAAAAUGCAGUAAUCCCAAGAGGACUACCUGUGGCGAAGGCGUCUAACCAGAACGGGUCCGACAGUGAGGAACGAAAGCCAGGGGAGCAAACCGGAUUAGAUACCCGAGUAGUCC